AAAAACCUUGACCUUUUGGACACAAGUACACAUGUUCUGUUUUAUGUGCUUAGACUGGUGUUUAUAUAAAUCAAAACUUUGUUUUCCCAAAUUUUGUUCUAAGAUUGUCUUUAAUUCACCCUUUUGAUUCUUCUUUCAGGAUCUCCGAUCAAUCUCCCUACCAAGAAUUGGUUUUAAAGGUUUUACUUGCCAAUGAGUGACGUUCCAUACAUAUUUCCAUGGUGAGCCACGAAGCCGUUUGCUUCAUAGUGGAUGGAGCGUGUUUGUUUCAUUGAUGUGAAGUAUCUAAUUUUUCUAUAGAGGCGAGGAUGUGGAAUCACUUGAGAAAGUAUUAAAAAGGACGAAUUAAGUAAGAGGGAAGAUUCAAUGCAGAAAAAUGUAUCAAUGGAUCAGUUGCAGUCACCAAUUUAUAUUAAAAUGAACAGGGGAGGAGCUUGAUAUUUUCGUAAACGAUGGAGGCUGCAUCAUGGAGAAUCGGGGAUGGUCUCUCAAGUGGCAUCUGGAGCUAUACAGUGUCUUUAUAAUUAAUCCAACUCUCAUGCCAGAUUUUUUUAUCAAUCUCAUAAAAAAAAUUUAUGUAUUUUUCUCUGUUUUUCAAUAAAUGUUGAGAGCUUUGCAAAUCUAUCAAGAACACUUAGCAAUUGUAAAGGAGAGUCCUUUUAUUCACGUUUGAUAUCGUAACACCAUUUAUAUGUAACGACAUAGUAUGUAUCUUACAGCUAUACACACUAAGUUACAGAAUGUAACCGACCUAUAUAUGGCCAAAUACUUCAUUAAGGUUACAAA